rnacentral:lncRNA from 1 species
GGACGGCGGUGCUAGGACUAUAGUGUGGAAGUUGGAAAGGCCAAUGGCAAGAGUAAAAUAGAAGGGAUAACUUCCUCUGCUAUUUAUAAUAGUGGUACAGUAAAAACUGUCGAAGUGAAUGGACUUCGAUUUAAAGGAUUCCCAAAUUCAGGAAAACUGAUUGGUGGUUUCUUUUAUUUCGGAAAAAGAUAUGGAUAUUCCAAAAGAUUGUCAUGUUCACCAAGUUUGACCCUUAUACCCACCAAACUAGUCGGCUAAAGGCUCGGGAAAAGUGAUGCAAAUUACAAAUUGACCCUCAGCCUAAUACUUCGAUUCAACCUAAGGCUCGAGGGCUACUCCAUAUAAAAUUCAAGGUUGAAGGAUACGAGACUAAGUUAAAUGAGGUUUGAGCACAUUCCAGCCACAUGGCAGUUUUUGGGCACCUUUGAAGAUUUAACAAGUACACGAAGUGCAUCAAAACUAGUUGGUAAAGUCUACAAAAGUACUCGAAAAUGCUGCAUUUGACUAAAAAGUACUCGGAGGCUUGUCGUACAUACAUAUAUGGGCCCAUCAGAAGGUUUGGACAGACCCAAAUAUGAGGCUGGACACUGAGACACAUCUGACAUGGAGACCAUGGCACAAGACGGAGUAGUCUACAUGGAAAGAUAGAAACUAGUGGAGGAUUAGAAAAAUACUCAUUGUAAUAGGGUAGGCUUCUUCUAGUUGUAUCCGACUAGUAUUCUUGUAACCAAUCGACCAGUAACCCAUCCCCUGACUAUAUAAGGCAAGGCAUGGACCCCCUCCAAAGCAAUUCAAUCCAACCAACACACGGGACGUAGGGUAUUACGCAAUCUAGCAGCCCAAAUCUGUCUAAAUUGUAUAUUUGCGUUUACCUUCAAGUUCCUAAUCUCGACUAGCCCCACCAACCAAUCUACUACCUUGGGAUACCCCUCAGUAGGUUGUAGGGUCUAAACAUCGACACCCCCCUCUCCCCGCUCUCACCCAACC